CAGUCGCCUCGGGAAUACGAAGGGUGCAAGCGUUACUCGGAAUUACUGGGCGUAGAGCGUGCGUAGGUGGUGGUUUAAGUCCGUUGUGAAAGCCCUGGGCUCAACCUGGGAAUUGCAGUGGAUGCUGGGUCACUAGAGUGUGGUAGAGGAUAGUGGAAUUUCCGGUGUAGCAGUGAAAUGCGUAGAGAUCGGAAGGAACAUCUGUGGCGAAGGCGACUAUCUGGGCCAACACUGACACUGAGGCACGAAAGCGUGGGGAGCAAACAGGAUUAGAUACCCCAGUAGUCCCUGUCUCUUAUAC
rnacentral:rRNA from 1 species